UACAGAGGUCCCGAGCGUUGUUCGGAUUCACUGGGCGUAAAGGGUGCGUAGGUGGCGUGGUAAGUUUGAUGUGAAAGCUCAGGGCUUAACCCUGAAAUGGCAUUGAAUACUCCCAUGCUGGAGGUUUGGAGGGGGGGACUGGAAUUCUUGGUGUAGCAGUGAAAUGCGUAGAUAUCUGGAGGAACACCGGUGGCGAAGGCGCAUCCUGGACCGGCAUUGACGCUGAGGAGCGGAAAAGCCCAGGGGGAGCAAAACGGGGAAUUUAGAUACCCCCGG
rnacentral:rRNA from 1 species